rnacentral:rRNA from 1 species
AUUGAACGCUGGCGGAAUGCUUUACACAUGCAAGUCGAACGGCAGCACGGACUUCGGUCUGGUGGCGAGUGGCGAACGGGUGAGUAACAUAUCGGAACGUAUCCAAUAAUGGGGGAUAACUAAUCGAAAGGUUGGCUAAUACCGCGUACGCCCUACGGGGGAAAGCAGGGGAUCUUCGGACCUUGCGUUAAUGGAGCGGCUGAUAUCUGAUUAGCUAGUUGGUGAGGUAAAGGCUAACCAAGGCGACGAUCAGUAGCUGGUCUGAGAGGACGACCAGCCACACUGGAACUGAGACACGGUCCAGACUCCUACGGGAGGCAGCAGUGGGGAAUUUUGGACAAUGGGCGCAAGCCUGAUCCAGCCAUUCCGCGUGAGUGAGGAAGGCCUUCGGGUUGUAAAGCUCUUUCGCAAGGGAAGAAAACUUACUUUCUAAUAAAGAGUGAGGUUGACGGUACCUUGAUAAGAAGCACCGGCUAACUACGUGCCAGCCGCCGCAGUAA